rnacentral:lncRNA from 1 species
AUUUAAAGUAUUUUUCGAUGUCUCAUCCUUCAAUGAAAUUAAAAUAUCACAUGUUAAAACCAAACAAGAAAAGGCUUUUUUGUCUAACGGCAGUGUGCGAUUUGUGCGCAAGGCCCGGUUCGGACUCCAGACGCCCGAAAAAUUCGUCGUAGUUUAUUGAACUACAUCGUUUUAGCGAACCAGCUCGAGCAGAGUUCUUUUUUUAGUUCGUUGAGCGACCUGAGCAGGGUUCAAACUUCGGGGAAGAUCGCGUUUCGGCAGCUUUUCGAAAUUCGCGGUUCUCUGUCGACAGUAGCGCAACCUAGAGUCCCUUUAGCGCAACCUUUCAUCAGAUUCUCAACAACAAGAGAGUUUUAGGUUAUGUUUGAUUGUUUACGUUUCCGACUUCCCGACCUGUUUCCCAUGCUUGCGGCGUGAUAUGGAAGAAGACUGUGUAGUGUAGAUUUUUUCUUGCUGCUACUUCUGCGACAAGUGUAGAUAAAAUAUGAGAACGUGUGUACACUGACCUGUAAACGAUCAAACUUUGCGCACUAACUCAAAGUUACUGAAUUUACAUAUCUUCAGGGAAGCACUGUCAGACUGUCGGAGCAUUGCCGCUUUGGAAAUUCAUCCUUCUACUUCGGUCGUAGCAAUUACUUUAUUUGUGUGUUGCAGAUUUGUCUUUUCAAUUUUGACUUUGAGAUCAUCUACAAAGAUUGAGAAGAAAUACGUCACAAGAAAAAAAUAAUGCCGGGUCAGACGAAAAUUUUCGACGAUGAAUCCUUCGAUCUCAUGUCAGCAGACUAUAAUAAUCCAAGUUUCAACUCAUAUACUGAAGGUAAGGGCAAAGAUAUUGGAAAUCCAAAUGAAUUAUCAGAAGUCACUUUGAAGAUUACCAACAUUCCCCAGGGAUUGGAAAAGCAAGGUUUGUUCAAUUUAUUUUCCAAGUAUGGUGAAGUUGAAGUUAAGUACCAGCGGCACUCGACUAGAGAGCCAGGCACACAGUUCGCUUAUCUCAAAUAUGACACCCAGAUUUCAGCCAAUCGCGCUAUUAAGGAAGUUCAUAAAGAACCACCCUUUCAUAUGAGAGUCCAGUUUGCUCCUCCACAAACUAAUAAAGCUCAAGCAGAUGAUAUUCAUAAUAAUGACAGCAUCCUUGAAGCAAUGAAACCGUAGAACCACAGACUGAGCAAGAAAGGCCAGACAACAUUUAUAUUGGCCCAAUAUUGGAGGAAAUACAGUCAAGUUUUUUCCCCCCAGAAAACACUCAUGAUUUUAUUAUCCAUGAUAAUUUUGAUCCCCUUUACUGCAAUCCGUUUGUCAGUUUUCAUGAAAACAAAUAUAAAAUUUAUCCUAUUUUAG